AUUUAAAUAGCUUAAGAUAGAGUAUAGUAUUGAAGAUACUGGGGUAAUUAUUAAAUUUUUAAAUA
rnacentral:tRNA from 1 species